UUGUAGCUCAGUGGUAGAGAGGCUGACCUGUAAUCAGUGUAUUGCCGGUUCGAGUCGGGCGCCAGCAAGCCA
rnacentral:tRNA from 1 species